rnacentral:rRNA from 1 species
GACGUAGGGUGCGAGCGUUAAUCGGAAUUACUGGGCGUAAAGCGUGCGCAGGCGGUUGGGCAAGACAGAUGUGAAAUCCCCGGGCUCAACCUGGGAAUUGCAUUUGUGACUGCACGGCUAGAGUGUGUCAGAGGGGGGUAGAAUUCCACGUGUAGCAGUGAAAUGCGUAGAGAUGUGGAGGAAUCCCGAUGGCGAAGGCAGCCCCCUGGGAUAACACUGACGCUCAGACACGACAGCAUGGGGAGCGAACGGG